AGGAGGAACAACCGCAGGGGCAGCAGCAGCUCUGGAGCCCUGGAGUCAGCCCCCGCAGUAACUCCAGAGCUCUCCGUCUGCAGGGCCUGGAGGCUCCGGGCGGGG
rnacentral:pre_miRNA from 1 species